AGGAGAUGAAGAGCGAAAAAUGGCCUUUUGUUUUGAAAUGAUGGAAAGAACAAAUAAUGAUAGGAAUUUUUUAAGAAAUAUUUGUUUUACCGAUGAAUGUACAUUUACCCUCAACAAUGAACCAAAUGUUCAGAAUUGCCGGUAUUGGAGCCAAGAAAAUGAACAUCGCUUUGUUCGUACUCAGACACAAUAUCCCCAAAAAACAAAUGUAUUCGUGGGAAUUAUCGGACACCAUAUCAUUGGACCCUUUUUUAUGGACUAUAAACUAGCAGCUGAAACCUAUUUGGCCUUAUUUCAAAAUCAAAUUGGAUCCGGAUGGAUGGUUGCCCGGCCCAUAAUGCCCGUAUGGUUAGAGAGUGCUUGGAAAAUGCUUUUAACGGCAAUAUUAUUGGUCCACGGUACCGGAUACUUUGGCCAGCCAUAGCCCUAUAACACAAACACUACAGUUGUUACAAGUUUACAAGUUACAAUUAAUUUACCGUACCUCCAAGUCAUGAUGAAUUCAGUAACACAUCAGAAACAACUACAAUUGUAAUUUUUUUACAAUUGUAGGACUACGCGUACAUAUGUAUAACAGACUUGUUAAAACGAGUUUAAGCAGUUAAGGAUUAAAAUUUAUGGGUUGUUUGUUAGUUUGUUCGUUCGUAUAAGCGAUACGGUGAGAAGGCUGAUUUCGGUUAGUAAAAAUGUCGUCUAAACAAAUUAUUUUCGAAAGAAAAAUGCAGUUUUUGACAAAAAUUAAAGAAAACAAGGAAAUUCUAUUUGGUGCUUUCUCAAAUAGACUUAAAAAGCAAGACAAGGUCGAGAAAUGGAAGGAAAUAGCCCAAGUAGCCCAAAGUUUAUGCUUAGUUUUAGUAGAGGAGGAUUGGACCUACGUAAGAGAUACUGUCUGGCAGAAUUUGAAGAAAUCUGCAAUGCUUAAAAUAGACAACGCGAAAAAAACAGGGACUGGACAUAGAUAAGAUUAUUUUGGAUAUUGUUGGAAAGGAAUCUCCAAUUAUUUGUGGACUUGGAGUUUCUGAGUCGUUCGAGGUAGCCCAGACUCAGAUUAUAUAUUUAGCCAGAUUAUAUAUAUAGCCAGAGUCCAGUCAACAGAAACGCCUGUACCAAAUAAGACUGUCCACUUAAGCGGACAUGAAUGUGGACCAUCUACUUCAAGGAAAGCCAGAAAGAGAAAAGUUGUCGAAAGCACGGGUGAAAGUGACGAUAAAAAUGAAAAGGUGAAACUACAAAUUGAACAUAUAAAAUUACAAAACUAUAAAACUAAGCUGGAAAUAUUAAAAUUAGAAAAGGACCUCGGGUUACCGUUUUCUGAAUGUACCUCGCAGUUCCAAAAUAACUUCCAAUCAGAAAACGGCAAGACCUAUUUAUCUUUAUAAUAAUUUAUCUAGUACCUAUAGUUUAGAUAUAGUCUA